CCACCUCCCCUCACCCCAUCUGAGGAGCUGGCUCUGUCCCUUAAUAAAGUGGUUGCUGGCAUUCCAGGGGGCAGUUCCUCGCACACACCAUGCACCACAAGUGAUGGUGAAAAAAUGGUGAAAUAUACUGAUGGACGGAUUGUAUUAUUGGACCCUCCAGAAAGAACACAGUCUGUCACAGUUGAUGAAGAUGACGAUGAAGAGACCACAUCUGCU